GUGAUGUUAGGAUCUUGACACAUUAGCGUUUUUUGAUUGUUUCUGGUUGGGGGGAAAGCAAAACAUUGUGAGGAAAGGAAGGAGGGAAAUGAAGGAAGGAUGAGUAAACAAUGUAUAUGCAUGUUCUUGAACAAUUGUAAAUGUAAAAUUGUUAGCUCUGUAGCAGACAAGAUGUAACGUAAGUGACCAUGUCUCUCUCCGCCUGUACAAUAGGUUACUUCCAUUGAUCCCAAUAAUCUGAACUCCCAUUAGAACGGCAUGGAUGAGAUUACAUUGUUUGGAUUCAUAUGAGACAAAAGACAAUGAGACUGUAUCACUGCCCCUGACCAAAGACUGAAGUAGUAAACACCUGGACACUCAACCAAAUUCAUCUCAGUCAAAUGAAACAAUCUUAGUGCACCUGUUGCUACAGUACGUUUUUACUCUUGAGCACAGUUUAAUGAUCAUAGAUGUACACAUGGCCAAUAGAUAUUCCAACUGUUUUUGUUGUACUUGGGCAAUACAUUAAGUACUUAAUGCCUAACACAGCCAAAGCAGAAAUUUUUCAAACAAAAGAGUGGUAGAUUUGAACUACCAAGUAUUUCAAGCUAAUUUCAUUUCCACAUGGUAUAUAGAGAACACCACCCCUACUCCUCCUUUGAUAUUUGGCAUCUUACUCAAUUGUCAAUCAAAGACCCAAAACGUUCUUAAGGAGACUCCCAUCCUGUACAAUGCCAUAUAUAGACCACAAUGGAUGUGUCAUGUCUGUUAUGGGAUUUUUUAUUUCUAUUGAUUAUCCUGAGUCAGUUUAAUGGAUCACAUUGUCAACUGCAAACAAGUACAACUUGGUUUCUAAAAGACAGUUCUAAUUGAUGUGAGAGUCCUGUGCCUUUUUAAUUGGUUUGCCUUGUUUUUGAUGUUGAAUGUGUGAAAUGCAUCAUUGUGUAUAUUGCCAUUGUAUUCUGCAAAGCUGUCUGUUAUUGUAUAGACUCAUGUGCACUUUUAGUAUGGUACUACUGCUAAUAAAAAAAAAACAACGCUUGUGAUGACGAACAGUAUUUUCAGAAGUGUCUCGUUAAAAAAGUUAAUGCUAGGACGUUUAUUUUUAUUUUGUAUUGAACCACUUUAUUUAAAAUGUUCUGUUCAUCUUCUUAUGUGUAUGCAUUGAUGAGUUGUACAUGUGUGACGUAAAGGCUAAAUGAAGAUGAUUUGAUGAUCGUUGAAUAGUAGUGUAGAGGGAAUUUGCUUGUAAGUAAUAAAUGUGACUAUUGUACAUUGCUGAAGUGAACACUGUGUCUUUGUGUUGAUUUUCUGGUUGACUCGAACCAUAUGGUAGAUGUACGGA
ensembl:lncRNA